rnacentral:lncRNA from 10 species
AAAGUGCCUCCAGGGUACAGUGUCUGCAGGAUGCUGCCAGGUGCCAGAGGAAGGGUGGAUCUGUGGUUAACUAAGUUGGUGGCUAGAGCGUGAGGGUCCAUGAAGUCUUUUUUAAGUUUCUUUUGAGAAUUUCUAGUUGAGUGACUGGAAGAACCGACUUAACUUUAACGCACUGCAGCCACAUCAUCUGAAAGCAGUGACUUGCUAAUCAGAGUGUGAUCUAGGGACUACCUGUGCCUGUAUUACUGGAGUAAGUGCCACUUAGCAAUGCAGAAUUGCAAGCCCCAUCCAGGUCUGCUGAGUCAGGCAGAAUUAACCCCAGGUGAUUUGUGUGCAGAGUACAAUUUGAGACGUGCUGCCUUGCGUGACCAGGUGAUCUGAGUUUACUUCUAGCGCUAAGACCCAACUUUCUCUAAGAUUAUCUUACUUCCAAAGGAAAAAGGAGUGAUGACUGCAGUGAUUGGGCCACUGAAGGAGCCUGUCCAGAGAAACAAGCUUCCUUUGAAGUUAAGAGGAGGUCAUCUGACAACUUCUACUGAAUGAAUUCUGUGAAGAAAUGGCAUAUGUUAUGUAUGGGCCAAAGAAGUGUAGAACUAGUGUGCCUCUUCCAUCUUUCUUUUUCAACCAUGGCAACCUGGGAAUUCACAUAUUGAGAUGGCAGUUUCACCAGAUGGAGGAGGUUUGGAUCCCUGAGUCACCAGAUGGAGGCAAGCUCUGGCCAACUUGCAUUGGAGUUCAUACAAAGUGAUUCAACAAAUGAAUUUCGCAGUACCACAUCUGCCACCUCCUGAUUUGUGAACCAGGACGAUGUUGCCAGAAUGAAGAAGGAAUGGGCUAUGUGGAGAUUGUCUGGAGGGAAAAAUAAGACAUGCUUCUUCAGGAAAGGUCAAGACCUGGACCUCAGAGAAGGCACUCCAAGAAGGUGUGUACACCUGGAGACUCUGUCGCAGCUGCAAGCCGUUCUCUCUCUGAAUAAACAGAGAGUCCCACCUUUCUUUGAGGAGUAUCCACACUGUCCUCUCCCCCAAAGCAACAGGGAUUUACUCUAGCAGGGAACCUCAUUGGAAGCAGAAGAAUCAGAAUUUCCUGGGGACAAAUGUACCAUGUCAAAGUCCCCCAAAUGAUUCUGACCCCCAUCCUACUUGGGAGAUGCUAACUUUCCAGGUUGUGAAUCACACUUCUCACCAACUUAAUUGCAAGGGCUUUAACUUUCACAACAGUAAAAGUAAUACUCCAUGAAACAGCACAAAGUAUCUGGUUUCCAAAAGAAACUUUUUAUAUGAACCCAAAGUUAAAGAAUUUAAAACAGGGGCAUGAUGAUUUAAAUGAUUAAAGUGGGCUAAUGAAAUCAUCUUACAGGCUA